AAUCAAGACCCAGAUUACGACUUAGAGUUCUAAAUUUGAUUACAUUUUCCCAAAAUGUCCGCUUUUUUCCUCUUUGAGUACUUUUGAAAGAGUGAAAUAAUUGCUAACUUCAAGACAUGUUUUUCUUCUAAAUUCUGAAGCAAGCUCGUAUAACACUCUAGCCAACAAUAAAUUUUUUACCUUAAAUUAAAGAACAAAAAAUAAAAUUUUCAAUUAUUUCUAAGAUUCGAUCACUUGUAAACCGUAAUCCUUCAACUAUUUCGCCCUAUACAACAAACAUUUUAAAACUGGAAAUCGCGAACGAAUUAAAAAUGAAUCAGUAAUAAUUCGAUGGAUAAGAGGGCGUCUUCCACCCAUGCAUCGUUCAAAAUUCACGAUUUUUAAAGUGUACAAAAUAAUGUACACAACAGCUAUUUAAUCAUUUUAAGGAACGUCGAUACGAUAGCGUAAUAUGAGCUGUGUAUUUUUCAAUUAAGUCUGACUUACGUGGC